rnacentral:misc_RNA from 1 species
AAGUCGUAACAAGGUGUCCGUAGCUUUGCCAAAGGGUCCCCAUGCCCCCUAAUAACCCCACAGUUUAAUGUGAAGCUCAAUGUAAUACAUUGGGUAAAAAAACCGAACAACUGGUAACAAUGGAUAUCUUGGCUCUC